UUGAACGCUGGCGGCAUGCUUUACACAUGCAAGUCGAACGGCAGCGCGGGCUUCGGCCUGGCGGCGAGUGGCGAACGGGUGAGUAAUACAUCGGAACGUGCCCAGUAGUGGGGGAUAGCUCGGCGAAAGCCGGAUUAAUACCGCAUACGACCUGAGGGUGAAAGCGGGGGAUCUUCGGACCUCGCGCUAUUGGAGCGGCCGAUGGCAGAUUAGCUAGUUGGUGGGGUAAAGGCCUACCAAGGCGACGAUCUGUAGCUGGUCUGAGAGGACGACCAGCCACACUGGGACUGAGACACGGCCCAGACUCCUACGGGAGGCAGCAGUGGGGAAUUUUGGACAAUGGGCGAAAGCCUGAUCCAGCAAUGCCGCGUGUGUGAUGAAGGCCUUCGGGUUGUAAAGCACUUUUGGCGGGAACGAAAAGGACUGUGCCAAUACCACGGUUCGAUGACGGUACCCGCAGAAUAAGCACCAGCUAACUACGUG
rnacentral:rRNA from 1 species